rfam:Crassostrea gigas strain 05x7-T-G4-1.051#20 contig24387, whole genome shotgun sequence.
GAGCGUGUGUCCUGGUGACACGUCAGAACAUUGAUCGCUGAUUGGUCCGGCCGAUCUGUUACGGACAGUGUCCCUAUAACGCACACAUUCUAUGAACUUUGGGGCUCCCGUUGCCUUCGUCGCACGGUCGAGCCUCAUUCAAAAUUUCGAUUCUCCUCGGAGAGUCCCGGGUAUAAAUGUACAACCUGAAAUUUCUGUAAGGGGAAAACUCAUCACUCUUUCUGACGCUCUCAUACGGCUUUACCAUGUGGGUAUACUGCCAUUAUUU